rnacentral:tRNA from 1 species
GGGUCCUUAGCUCAGUGGUAGAGCAUUUGACUGCAGAUUAAGAGGUCACCGGUUUGAAUCACGUAGGGCCCU